rnacentral:lncRNA from 1 species
UUUUUUUUAAAUUUAACCCAAGUUUACGGCAAGGUGUGUUUAACGACCUCGAUGAUUAUCCAUGAGGAUCUCGCACUCGGUCAGCUAUAGGUUUUCACCUAGUUCAUGAUCAUACAAGAAUUGAGAAGCCUGUGGUUUACUAGUCUUAUAAUAUGAGACUUUGGAGUUCAUAUAAUUUACAUUCAACGUUUUUUAUCGAAUAUUUCAAGGCUUUUUGACUAUCAAUGUUGACCCCCCCCCAAAAAAAAAAAUGAUUGGAUAAAAUGAAUGGAUUACCGCCCC